rnacentral:rRNA from 1 species
GGAUGCGAUCAUACCAGCACUAAAGCACCGGAUCCCAUCAGAACUCCGAAGUUAAGCGUGCUUGGGCGAGAGUAGUACUAGGAUGGGUGACCUCCUAGGAAGUCCUUGUGUUGCAUUCC